rnacentral:lncRNA from 1 species
UUAAUAAAAAAUAAUCUUCAUUCUAACAAAUUGUAUUCUUUCCAUAAAAAUUAAGACUCCAUUAUUUUGUAUGCUACCAACUCUUGGAAUACUAUUUGAUUCUAACAAAUCAUACUCUUUCUAUAACUCCAUGAUUUUGUAUGCUGGAAUAUUACUUGAAUUAAUUGUCUUCUUUGUAAAUUUUAUUUAGUAUAUAAUGUUUAAACUGAAUUUUUGUUGGGAUUCGGUUCGAACCAUUAAUCGAUUGCUCUCAUCGGAUCCAGGUCAAAUUCAAUUUAAACAACUAAAUUUAUUUUUUUUUAAGGGGAGAAUCGGUGAUGUUUGGGGCAAAAUGUAUUGCCGAGAUGAUUUGGAAAGUGAGCUGUGGCAAUUUAGGAGGUAAGCUGAAGUGAUUUGGGAGGUGAUUGUAGUGUUCUAAGUUUGGAAUAUUAUGGCGAGCUAGUGGAGUUCGCGGGUGUUAAUUUAGAGAGUUUCGAGAAUAGCUCUAAAAAGCUUAUCCAAUUAGGUCUAUAGAGCUUGUAAGAUAACUCAUAUAAACUCAUAGAUGAAAUAUGAUUGGGGCAUCAAAACCAUCGUAAUAAGUAGAAAAUAAGCAUAAAUAAAAAAGAACUUAAAGAUUUUGUGGUUCGGCGUUUUGGCCUGCAUACACAAGAGUAGCUCAUCUCUAAUCCACUAUAUAAAUGAAGUAUUACAUUAUUUACUCUACAGUAUCAACAAAACCUUAUUCAAUGUUGUUUAUAAUGAGUAAAAACAUGAAGAAAAUGUGGGUUUUAUGGAGAUUAGAGGGUUUUAUAAGAGAAGAAUAAUGAAGAAACUUAUUUGAAAGACAAAGUGGCUAAGAUCUUCCAUGGAAGUACAAAAAUGGAGAGAGAAGAAGAUGAGGCAACCUCUCAAGAAAUUAGAUCAAAAAAAAUGCCCAGAGUAGGAUAGAGCAAAAGGAGAGAAGGUUAGAGCUAGAGAUCCCCUCAAAAUUGAACAUGUGAGCUUAUAUAAGAGUGCUCAUGAGGAUAUUUUAGUAAUCUUGGACACGUGGUGCUCAAUUAAUGGGUAGUCUUCUUCAGGUGAGACUAUUUGAGUAAUUUAUCUUGUGGUCUCUUCAUAAUGACACAGAUGAGCUUAAGAGAUAAGGAAUCCUCUAGCACCUUUUUGCCUCCACAACUGGGCACAUGGCUACCUCUUAGCCUUGUGGUCUUGCUGCUUUUCAGAUGAUAGCAAAGGAUAGCUAAUGUAGUCCCCUCCUAUAUCUUUGCUCAAAGAAUUUUUAUUUCCAUUAACUCCUUAUUCUCAACCAGAAAAAAAUAUUUUAUUCUUUCUCAUUAUGGCAUGCACUGUAUAAGUUCUGGCUCUAACUACCAAAAUUUAGGUUCCAAUAAUCCCCCUUAAUAUCAGGCAUUUUGUCGAAACUAUCAUUUUUUUGUGGAGCUUAUUUCUCACUUUCCUGUGAGCUAUCUUGUUGUCCUAGUCAAACAAAAUGUCUUCCCUUGCUUGACUUUUUAUUACCAAGUGUCACUGAGUUAUUGGCGUAUGUCAGCAUUCAGAUUUCCCUAAACAAGAUACCUCAGAUUUCUUUGUGUUGAAAGAAUUAAAGCACAAGAAACUCAAAGAGAAAAUUUUGCAUGGGUGACACAUGCGAGUUGCUACUGAGUCACCCUUUUGAUCACUCGUGAAUUUUUGAGUUAUUAUGAAGUGUGCAACUAAACUUUCUUCUAUGUCUAGUGAUUUCCAUUCUGAGUUGUACUCAACUCUGGUGAUGAUAGUUAAGCUGCACUAAGCUAGCUUUGGUGAUAUUGAUACUUGAGCUAUACUUAACUCUUGCAAUUUCAAUACCGGAGCUUAUUUCCCAAUUUCCUAUAAGCUAUCCUGUUGUCCUAGUCAAACAAAAUGUUUUCACUUGGUUGACUUUUUCUUGCCAUGAGUCACUAAGCAUCCAUAUUUCAUCCCCAAACAUAUAAUAUUAAAAUAAUUCGUGUUAGA